CAGUCGCCGCGGUAACACAGAGGGUGCGAGCGUUAAUCGGAUUUACUGGGCGUAAAGCGUGCGUAGGCGGCUUCUUAAGUCGGAUGUGAAAUCCCUGAGCUUAACUUAGGAAUUGCAUUCGAUACUGGGAAGCUAGAGUAUGGGAGAGGAUGGUAGAAUUCCAGGUGUAGCGGUGAAAUGCGUAGAGAUCUGGAGGAAUACCGAUGGCGAAGGCAGCCAUCUGGCCUAAUACUGACGCUGAGGUACGAAAGCAUGGGGAGCAAACAGGAUUAGAUACCCGGGUAGUCCCUGUCUCUUAUAC
rnacentral:rRNA from 1 species